UGGUGGGGCGGGUCAUGCUAAGGCUUGCCCCACUUCAUGCUGCUAGGAGCUCUGGCUCCCAUCAGAUAUAUGCUGGCUGUUGGCAAGGAGGAAGGAAGCAAGCCAUAGCAGGAAUGAAGUCCACCCCUUCCCCUCAGACUUGGAGCCAUAGGCUGAAGGAAGCCAGCUGGUACCAGGUUAAAGAGACCACUAUUUGUCACCUAAUAAGCAAGUGUUUGAAGAGCGGCUGUGGAGGGCAGUGAUUAUUCCUCAGUAGCUUGGAAAACAGGGCAUGCAUGAUAUUUUGUUUCUCCUUUGGCCUUGCUGAUAGAGUUCACUCGAGAGGUUUGGUUGACUUGAUUCUUUUCAGGGAGACCUUGAAAUAUAGAUAAGCACUUGAUAAGUGGGACAGACAUAUGCCGCUCCCUAUCCCUGGUGUACCCGUUCUUCCUGAUGCUCUCCCCCUGGUUUAUGAACUGUGAUCAUUGUUCCUAGGAAAGAUAAAGGGAGUCAGGAGACUUCCUCCCUGUGGCUUCAGCAAGAUACACCACAGGCCAGAUUGGGCCUCAGUGUGGGACUUCUAAGUGGUGUGAAUCUGGAGAAGGGAAACAAAGUUCCACUUGUUCCUGUGAGCCUUCCUAUCAAAGAUGUUUACACCGUGAGUCUGCUCAGUUAGAGAUGCUGGUUGUUUUUUGUCCAGUAGUGUGAGAGGCUUGGAUGGCCUUGGUGUGCCCUCAUGUUUCCUGCCUUUUGUUUUUCUGGAAAGAAAAUUAAGAGUUUAUUAAUCACCUGCUAUAUCCCAGGUACUGAACUAGGCAUCUUUUCCAAAGUUGUCUCAUUUCAUUUGUAUGAAAACCAUUUCGGGAGAGGUUAUUAUCCCCUUUAUAUGCAUGAGAAGAUGGAGGUUCAGAAACAUAGAAUAAAUUUACUAAGCCCUCUCAGGCAAGAGGCUGAGUCAUAAUUUGAACCCUGGGCAUCUCACUCCUAAAUUGUGUGUUCUUCCCAUUCAGGAUUCACAAAGAACAAAAAUUCUGGAACACAUUACAGGGUGACCUGAUACAUGGCUUAACAGUAUGAAUUUUAACACUAAACGUUGUUUGGCACAUCUGCCUUUACUGGGGAGAGACAGAGGAGGGAGAAGCGGGUGGCCUGAAAACAGUUUUUUUGCUGGGGUUCAGCCUACUCUCAGCACCUCGUCCCAUCCAGACAAUUGGAGCCUCUCUAAAAAAGCCACCGUGUUAUUAUAGCAUCAAAGAAAAGUUUGUGACCUUGGUAGCUUGGACGAAACCCCAGCUUGGACUAAAACUUCCGUCCAGGGUAGCUGACUCUCUUUUACUGCAUAUGAGCCACAUUUUUGCAGCCCUGUCCAGAAAUAUCUGUGGAACCAAAGGCUCCAAUAAAAUGAAAGUUAUCUUGCAUGCUUGUCUCCUACCCUAAUUGGGGGGCAGCUCGACAAGACAGAAAUCCCCAAACGGUGACUUGUCCUGGAGCCCAAUGACACAGUCACCCCAACCUGUAUCCAGCCGCUCCUCCUGCAGAAAACGAGCUCUGCCUUCUGGGACCGAGUGUGAGCUCCACCGGGCCUCGGCAGCCCAGCUCCCAAAAGUUUGCUGCUUCCUUACUUGAGAUGUAUUCCUGUACUGUAAUCCUACUGCGAGUGGAGCCAGCCAAAGCAGUGGCUAUUAAUAGGGAGGUGAAGAACGCUGAGUCAGGAGGAGGCUGAUUUAGGCUGGAGGCGAGAGCCUGGCCACCUUGGCCUACAAUCCUCAGUGAGAGGUCAGGGAGAGAGACAGACCUGAGCUCAUUCGGCUCCUGGGCCGGAGUCAGCACCAUCUGGAUUUCUCAACUUUGGAAAUAGAAACCUGAGGCCAUCCCGAUCAAAGGGCUAUACCGCUGUCUUUCCCAGGUCCUUGGGGAGUCUCAGAGCCCUGAACACACACAGCUUAAAUAGCCGUGAUGCAGCAGAGCUGUAACUCUUCCCUGAUAGUGUGACUUGGAAUGGGCUGUGGGGGCCACCUUCGGCAGCCUCUGCCUCAGCAGAGAAGCCGGUGUUGACCCAGCCCUGAGCUGGCCAGAGCUCCCGUCCGCGGAGAUGUCACAGGAGGGAGAUUGUAUUUCUGGCUUCUUGAUAAGGCUUGGGGAAGUGGGUGUUACAGAAAGGUGGAAGCAAAGAGGUGAAGGUCCAGAGCGAAUGAAGGGCACAGUGCAGAGUCCUGAUUGUGUGGCAGAAAGUUUUCAGGCAUUUCUGUUAAGGCAAUGCCUUUCUCAGGGAGGUAAGACCUCAGCCACUUGGUAGACGCGCCAUCACCUGGCAGCUGGAAGCAGGUUAGAUUCCCAAACCUGGCCCAUGCUGUGCCACAGGGAAAGUAGAACUCCCGGACGCUGGGUUCAGAGUAUCCCUUACUCCGUACCGGGUGCGAAACACACGCUCUGUAUGCUGCUUCAUUUGGUCCUCACCAGUCCCGACAGCUGACAACAGAGUCAACCUCUUCAAGGCAGAGGCAACCUGGCAUUUUGCACAAAGGAAACAGAACAAAGGUUGCUCUUGGGCCCAGGGAAUGAUCCUAGACCAUCAGCUUGUCUCCCUUCCUUCCUUUCUUCCUUCCAUCCUCCCUCCCUCCUUUCCUGUAACCAUGAUUUUGGAAAUUGCAACUGAUCUGGCCUAUACCUAAUGGGCAAGUGAUUUAUUUAUGUUUUGUCCAUGCUUGGGCUGAAGAAAAAGAAGGGGUUGUAGAUCCUGGAGACCUGAAUUUUGACAGUAGUAAUAAGCAAAGUGAGAGAAUCCCAGAAAUAAUUAAAACCACCUGAAGACUCUCCUUUUAGACUCAGUUUUGAGGAGGGGGCCAUUACCUGCAAGGUGUGGACAGGAAUCUUAACUGAAGAGAGACCUACAUUCUUGCGACUUAAAAUGGGGUCCCUGGACCAGCACAACCAGCAGCAGCACCUGGAGCUGUUUAGACAAGUGGACUUUCAACCUUCAGCCCAAGCCUACGAAAUCAAUCUGCAUUUUUAACAAGAUGCCUAGGUGAUUUCCAUAUACACUCAAGUUUGAAAAGCCUUGGUCUUCAAGAUAGGAAGACUGCUUAGCUGGUAAAUCUUAUGUCACCAUGUUCCAAUCUGUAUUGUUUUGCAUGGCUGAUUGAUAUGUAAUCAGUUUGUCAACCUCUAUGAUUAUAAAUUUAUGUCCCAAAGUAAAUUCAAUCAGGGGUUAAACCAUUUGUACUCCACUGAACAUUUCCAAGAAAUCUCCUUGGAACCAAUGAUGUUGAGAUUCUUUUAAAUAAAGGGUUUGCUCUCUGA